AUUGAACGCUGGCGGAAUGCUUUACACAUGCAAGUCGAACGGCAGCACGGACUUCGGUCUGGUGGCGAGUGGCGAACGGGUGAGUAACAUAUCGGAACGUAUCCAAUAAUGGGGGAUAACUAAUCGAAAGGUUGGCUAAUACCGCAUACGCCCUACGGGGGAAAGCAGGGGACCUUCGGACCUUGCGUUAAUGGAGCGGCUGAUAUCUGAUUAGCUAGUUGGUGAGGUAAAGGCUCACCAAGGCGACGAUCAGUAGCUGGUCUGAGAGGACGACCAGCCACACUGGAACUGAGACACGGUCCAGACUCCUACGGGAGGCAGCAGUGGGGAAUUUUGGACAAUGGGCGCAAGCCUGAUCCCGCCAUUCCGCGUGAGUGAAGAAGGCCUUCGGGUUGUAAAGCUCUUUCGCAAGGGAAGAAAACUUACUUUCUAAUAAAGAGUGAGGUUGACGGUACCUUGAUAAGAAGCACCGGCUAACUACGUGCCAGCCGCCGCGGUAA
rnacentral:rRNA from 1 species